AGAGAAUGUCAGUACUAGAGGCAG
rnacentral:miRNA from 1 species